rnacentral:rRNA from 1 species
GUGCCAGCCGCCGCGGUAAUACGUAGGGUGCAAACGUUGCUCGGAAUUACUGGGCGUAAAGGGUCCGUAGGCGGUCAGAAAAGUCAGGUGUGAAAUCCCCCGGCUCAACCGGGGAAUUGCGCCUGAAACUCUCUGACUUGAGUGCAGGAGGGGAGAGUGGAACUCUCGGUGGAGCGGUGAAAUGCGUAGAUAUCGAGAGGAACACCAGCGGCGAAGGCGACUCUCUGGUCUGCAACUGACGCUGAGGGACGAAAGCUAGGGGAGCAAACGGGAUUAGAUACCCCGGUAGUCCUAGCUGUAAACGAUGGACACUAAGUAGGGGUGGUUCCGACAUCGUCCUUGCUGUAGCUAACGCGUUAAGUGUCCCGCCUGGGGAGUACGCUCGCAAGGGUAAAACUCAAAUGAAUUGACGGGG